GAUGAACGCUGGCGGCGUGCCUAAUACAUGCAAGUCGAGCGAACAGAUGAGGAGCUUGCUCCUCUGACGUUAGCGGCGGACAGGUGAGUAACACGUGGAUAACCUACCUAUAAGACUGGGAUAACUUCGGGAAACCGGAGCUAAUACCGGAUAAUAUAUUGAACCGCAUGGUUCAAUAGUGAAAGACGGUUUUGCUGUCACUUAUAGAUGGAUCCGCGCCGCAUUAGCUAGUUGGUAAGGUAACGGCUUACCAAGGCAACGAUGCGUAGCCGACCUGAGAGGGUGAUCGGCCACACUGGAACUGAGACACGGUCCAGACGCCUACGGGAGGCAGCAGUAGGGAAUCUUCCGCAAUGGGCGAAAGCCUGACGGAGCAACGCCGCGUGAGUGAUGAAGGUCUUCGGAUCGUAAAACUCUGUUAUUAGGGAAGAACAAAUGUGUAAGUAACUAUGCACGUCUUGACGGUACCUAAUCAGAAAGCCACGGCUAACUACGUG
rnacentral:rRNA from 1 species